rnacentral:rRNA from 1 species
GUAUAUAAAACUUAGAAAACAAAAAAUUAUGGCGGUAUCUUAAGCUUUUCAGAGGAAUUUGCUCUUUAAUGGAUAAAACACCUAAAUCUUACUAAAGUUGGUAAAGACAGUUUGUAUACCACUAUUAAAGCAAUUAUUAAUUAUAAUUGCUGUAAAUUUUACACAAAAAAUAAGUUAAGUCAAGGUGCAGCUUAAACUUUAGGAUGAAGUGAAUUACAAUUCUUUUUAGAUAAUUAUUUUUUUUCGAAAAAAAAUAAUAAUUAGGAUUGAAAGUAAAAAUUUUAAUAGAAUGAUUAUUUGAAUUAAGCUCUGAGAUAUGUAC